rnacentral:rRNA from 1 species
UACGGAGGGAGCUAGCGUUAUUCGGAAUUACUGGGCGUAAAGCGCACGUAGGCGGCUUUGUAAGUUAGAGGUGAAAGCCUGGAGCUCAACUCCAGAAUUGACCUUUGAUACUGCAUGGCUUGAAUCCAGGAGAGGUGAGUGGAAUUCCGAGUGUAGAGGUGAAAUUCGUAGAUAUUCGCAAGAACACCAGUGGCGAAGGCGGCUCACUGGGUCAUUACUGACGCUGAGGCACGGAAAGCGUGGGGAGCAAACAGGG